rnacentral:piRNA from 1 species
UAAGGGAAAUUUUGUAGUUCGUAAAGUAC